rnacentral:rRNA from 1 species
UGGGGAAUUUUGGACAAUGGGCGCAAGCCUGAUCCAGCCAUGCCGCGUGCGGGAAGAAGGCCUUCGGGUUGUAAACCGCUUUUGUCAGGGAAGAAAUCUUCUGAGUUAAUACCUCGGGAGGAUGACGGUACCUGAAGAAUAAGCACCGGCUAACUACGUGCCGGCAGCCGCGGUAAUACGUAGGGUGCAAGCGUUAAUCGGAAUUACUGGGCGUAAAGCGUGCGCAGGCGGUUUUGUAAGACAGAGGUGAAAUCCCCGGGCUCAACCUGGGAACUGCCUUUGUGACUGCAAGGCUUGAGUGCGGCAGAGGGGGAUGGAAUUCCGCGUGUAGCAGUGAAAUGCGUAGAUAUGCGGAGGAACACCGAUGGCGAAGGCAAUCCCCCUGGGCCUGCACUGACGCUCAUGCACGAAAGCGUGGGGAGCAAACAGGAUUAGAUACCCUGGUAGUCCACGCCCUAAACGAUGUCAACUGGUUGUUGGGAAGGUUCCUUCUCAGUAACGUAGCUAACGCGUGAAGUUGACCGCCUGGGGAGUACGGCCGCAAGGUUG